rnacentral:rRNA from 1 species
GACGAACGCUGGCGGCGCGCCUAACACAUGCAAGUCGAACGGAGCUGAGAGGAGCUUGCUUUUCUUAGCUUAGUGGCGAACGGGUGAGUAACGCGUGAGUAACCUGCCCUGGAGUGGGGGACAACAGUUGGAAACGACUGCUAAUACCGCAUAAGCCCACGGCCCGGCAUCGGGCUGAGGGAAAAGGAUUUAUUCGCUUCAGGAUGGACUCGCGUCCAACUAGCUAGUUGGUGAGGUAACGGCCCACCAAGGCGACGAUUGGUAGCCGGACUGAGAGGUUGAACGGCCACAUUGGGACUGAGACACGGCCCAGACUCCUACGGGAGGCAGCAGUGGGGGAUAUUGCACAAUGGGGGAAACCCUGAUGCAGCGACGCCGCGUGGAGGAAGAAGGUUUUCGGAUUGUAAACUCCUGUCGUUAGGGACGAUAAUGACGGUACCUAACAAGAAAGCACCGGCUAACUACGUGCCAGCAGCCGCCGCGG